GUCUUUUGGUCGACUACAGUAACAGACGUCUCUUGAACUUUAACUGAUUUACUUAGGCAUGUACGAUUAGAUAUUUAGCUGUAUCAAACUCGACUUCUUCUUAAGAAAAGGAAUUUAUCAGAACUUGAUCAGUACGUAUAGUAAUUAUUGGUAAUAAAAUUUUCAGAGAAGGAGAUAUUAUAUUGAUAAUGAUUGUUAGAAAUUCAAUCAGAAGAACACACGAGACGAUGGGUUUCAAAAUAAACUUGUUAUUCAUACUUGUUGUCUCUAACAUGUUUAGCAUGGGAUACCUAUGUAAUUCAAAUUCAUAUGAGCCACCUAAAUAUUGUUUCAUUACUUAUGACUCUGGUCCUUGCCUCACGACCGAGAUGAUAACGAAUGGAACUUUCCUAUGGAGAUAUUACUAUUCGAAAUUAUUGGAAACGUGUUUUCCUUUCAAGUACGGAGGCUGCGGAGGAAAUGGUAAUCGUUUUUCAACUUAUGAAGUUUGCAUGAAUAUAUGUCACAUAUAAUACUCUAUAUACCUAAACAAUGAAGAAUAUUUUAAAUCCAUUUAAGAAUAUAAAAUUCUUUAAAACAAAUUUUUGAGGGUUUUAUAUAUUGAUAUGUAUUUGUAAUAGUUUUAUAUUGAGUUUAAAUAGAAGCACUAAAUGAAAGACUCUGUAAAGCCUUUAGAAAAUACUUCUAAAAGUGUUUUAUUUUUACAAUAAAUGACUGUAACAAAAUGAAAUGUACGGAUAUGUAUAUGAAAUAUGUAGGAAUAUAUGUGUAAAUACAGAAAA